rnacentral:rRNA from 1 species
CAGGACGAACGCUGGCGGCAUGCCUAACACAUGCAAGUCGAACGGAGUAAUGACUUCGGUUAUUACUUAGUGGCGAACGGGUGAGUAACACGUGAAUAAUCUGCCCUGUACGAUGGGAUAACAGCUGGAAACGGCUGCUAAUACCGUAUAUGACCACGCCGAGGCAUCUCGGAGGGGUGAAAGCGCUUAAGCGGUACAGGAUGAGUUCGCGUCCAAUUAGCUAGUUGGUGAGGUAACGGCCCACCAAGGCGACGAUUGGUAGCCGACCUGAGAGGGUGAUCGGCCACACUGGAACUGAGACACGGUCCAGACUCCUACGGGAGGCAGCAGUGGGGAAUAUUGGGCAAUGGAGGAAACUCUUACCCAAGCAAUGCCGCGUGAGUGAUGAAGGUCUUCGGAUUGUAAAGCUCUUUGAUUGGGGACGAAUAAAUGACGGUACCCAAGGAACAAGCCCCGGCUAACUAUGUGCCAGCCGCCGC